rnacentral:rRNA from 1 species
AGCGAAACUGCGAAUGGCUCAUUAAAUCAGUUAUAGUUUAUUUGAUGGAUAAAGAAAUGGAUAACCGUAGUAAUUCUAGAGCUAAUACAUGCUUGAAAGCCUGACUUACGAAGGGCCGCAUUUAUUAGAUAAAGCCAGCAUUUAGGUGAUUCAUAAUAACUUAGCGAAUCGUGGACAUUGUCUGCGAUAUAUCAUUCAAGUAUCUGCCCUAUCAGCUUUGAUGGUAGUGUAUUGGACUACCAUGGCUUUAACGGGUAACGGAGAAUUAGGGUUCGGUUCCGGAGAAAGAGCCUGAGAAACGGCUAUUACAUCUAAGGACGGCAGCAGGGGCGUAAAUUACCCAAUCUUAACUUAAGGAGGUAGUGACAAGAAAUAUCGACAUUGGAGAAAUCCAAGAUCGGAAUGGACUAAAUUUAAAGCUCUUAGUGAGUAACAAUUGGAGGGCAAGUCUGGUGCCAGCAGCCGCGGUAAUUCCAGCUCCAAUAGCAUAUAUUAAAGUUGUUGCAGUUAAAAAGCUCGUAGUUGG